AGAGCAUGAUGUUGACAUUUACUAAGAAGUUCUUUAAAUCUUUCCCAUUGUUCAUAAAUAUGCUCGCCAUUUAACUAGGUAAAAGAUGUGAUGUCAUUUCUCAACUU